UGAUUUUAUUACAAAUAUAUACAGUAGCUACAAUGGGACACCCACUAAAUCACACAAUAUACAAUAUUCAUUUUACAUUGCAAAUCAUCAGUUUACAGAUGCUGCACCUGGGUGAGGAAAAGCAAGAUAAUGCACGGCAAUAUGACAUAAAGUAUGACAGGAUGGCUAUAGUAGCUUCAUGGAGCUGACUUUUUACAGAGGGCAUCGUCACAGGUCAUUGGGUAAUGCAAAGGA